AUUGAACGCUGGCGGCAUGCUCUACACAUGCAAGUCGAACGGUAACAGGGAGCUUGCUCCGCUGACGAGUGGCGAACGGGUGAGUAAUGCGUCGGAACGUGCCGAGUAGUGGGGGAUAACGCAUCGAAAGGUGUGCUAAUACCGCAUACGUACUGAGGUAGAAAGUGGGGGACCUUCGGGCCUCACGCUAUUCGAGCGGCCGACGUCUGAUUAGCUAGUUGGUGAGGUAAAGGCUCACUAAGGCGACGAUCAGUAGCGGGUCUGAGAGGAUGAACCACCACACUGGGACUGAGUCACGGCCCAGACUCAUACGGGGGGCAGCAGUGGGGAAUUUUAGACAAUGGGCGCAAGCCUGAUUCAGCCAUGCCGCGUGUCUGAAGAAGGCCUUCGGGUUGUAAAGGACUUUUGUCCGAGAGCAAAGGCCUGGUGUUGAUAGCACUGGGAGCUGAGAGUACCGGAAGAAUAAGCACCGGCUAACUACGUGCCAGCCGCCGCGGUAACAC
rnacentral:rRNA from 1 species